CAGCCGCCACGGUAAAACGAAGGGGGCUAGCGUUGCUCGGAAUGACUGGGCGUAAAGGGCGCGUAGGCGGUUUUGACAGUCAGAUGUGAAAUUCCUGGGCUUAACCUGGGGGCUGCAUUUGAGACGUCAAGACUAGAGUGUGAGAGAGGGUUGUGGAAUUCCCAGUGUAGAGGUGAAAUUCGUAGAUAUUGGGAAGAACACCGGUGGCGAAGGCGGCAACCUGGCUCAUUACUGACGCUGAGGCGCGAAAGCGUGGGGAGCAAACAGGAUUAGAUACCCCCGUAGUCCCUGUCUCUUAUAC
rnacentral:rRNA from 1 species